UGGGGAAUAUUGGACAAUGGGCGCAAGCCUGAUCCAGCCAUGCCGCGUGAGUGACGAAGGUCUUCGGAUUGUAAAGCUCUUUUUGGCGGGGACGAUAAUGACGGUACCCGCAGAAUAAGCCCCGGCUAACUUCGUGCCAGCAGCCGCGGUAAUACGAAGGGGGCUAGCGUUGUUCGGAAUCACUGGGCGUAAAGCGCACGUAGGCGGAUUUGUUAGUCAGGGGUGAAAUCCCGGGGCUCAACCUCGGAACUGCCCUUGAUACUGCAAAUCUCGAGUCCGAUAGAGGUGAGUGGAAUUCCUAGUGUAGAGGUGAAAUUCGUAGAUAUUAGGAAGAACACCAGUGGCGAAGGCGGCUCACUGGAUCGGUACUGACGCUGAGGUGCGAAAGCGUGGGGAGCAAACAGGAUUAGAUACCCCCGUAGUCCCUGAGCGGGCUGGCAAGGCGCAU
rnacentral:rRNA from 1 species